rnacentral:rRNA from 1 species
GACGAACGCUGGCGGCGUGCUUAACACAUGCAAGUCGAACGGAAAGGCCCUGCUUUUGUGGGGUGCUCGAGUGGCGAACGGGUGAGUAACACGUGAGUAACCUGCCCUUGACUUUGGGAUAACUUCAGGAAACUGGGGCUAAUACCGGAUAGGAGCUCCUGCUGCAUGGUGGGGGUUGGAAAGUUUCGGCGGUUGGGGAUGGACUCGCGGCUUAUCAGCUUGUUGGUGGGGUAGUGGCUUACCAAGGCUUUGACGGGUAGCCGGCCUGAGAGGGUGACCGGCCACAUUGGGACUGAGGUACGGCCCAGACUCCUACGGGAGGCAGCAGUGGGGAAUAUUGCAGAAUGGGCGGAAGCCUGAUGCAGCAACGCCGCGUGCGGGAUGACGGCCUUCGGGUUGUAAACCGCUGUCGCCUGUGACGAGGCGUGAGUGACGGUAAUGGGUAAAGAAGCACCGGCUAACUACGUG